rnacentral:rRNA from 1 species
AUUGAACGCUGGCGGCAGGCUUAACACAUGCAAGUCGAACGAGUGGCGGACGGGUGAGUACUGCUUGGGAAUCUAGCUUAUGGAGGGGGAUAACUACGGGCAACUGUAGCUAAUACCGCGUACCAUCGGAUGCGCCCAAGUGGGAUUAGGUAGUUGGGGAGGUAACGGGUCACCAAGCCGACGAUCCCUAGCUGGUCUGAGAGGAUGACCAGCCACACUGGAACUGAGACACGGCCCAGACUCCUACGGGAGGCAGCAGGGGGGAAUAUUGCGCAAUGGGGGCAACCUGACGCAGCCAUGCCGCGUGAAUGAAGAAGGCAUUCGGGUUGUAAAGUUCUUUCGGUAGCGAGGCGUUGACUACAGAAGAAGCACCGGCUAACUCCGUGCCAGCCGCCGCGGUAAUAC